CGUGCCUGCAACGACUCAUGUGUGAGGUGUCCGGGGCUCCGCGGCACCGAGACGGCCUCUUGGGCGAAGUCGUCAACACCGUCCUCCUCGGCGGGGACAGCGCUGACAAUGAGGUGGGGACGGGGACGGGAACAGAAGUGGCGCUGUUCUCCAACUCGACCCGGCCGGCUGGCGACGGCUGGUCAUCGCAACUGUUUGACGCCGAGGAGUUGGCAGAAGCAAGGAUGCAUGGUAGUUUCCAUGGCGACUGCUCAGAACGCUACGGCAGCUGCCCCGUAUCCAUCUUUAACAUUAUCUGAUGUAUCAUCAUCUGGUACAACGCAUAUGGGUUGUGGUGCUUUCAGGAUUUUCAAGUUUUAAUAUUAUGCGGAGUGGACAUGAAACUACACCAGGUUAUGUUGAUGGCUCGUCAUCUGUCUCCGCUGCCUUUUGUUGUUGAUGGUUCGUCGUCUGUCUCCGCUGCCUUUUGUUGAUGGUUCGUCGUCUGUCUCCGUUGCCUUUUGUUGUUAUCGCUGCUGGCCUUCCACUUGCGAGCAGCUUUUUUUAAGCUU